rnacentral:rRNA from 1 species
CGGGAUGAGCUCAAAUUUAAAAUCUGGCGGUCUAGGCCGUCCGAGUUGUAAUCUGGAGAAGCGUUUUCCGCGUUGGACCGUGUACAAGUCUCUUGGAACAGAGCGUCAUAGAGGGUGAGAAUCCCGUAUGUGACUGGAUACCUAUGCUCAUGUGAAGCUCUUUCGA